UACGGGGGGAGCAAGCGUUGUUCGGAUUUACUGGGCGUAAAGGGCGCGUAGGCGGUCAGCACAAGUCAGUUGUGAAAUCUCCGGGCUUAACUCGGAAAGGUCAACUGAUACUGUGCGACUAGAGUGCGGAAGGGGCAACUGGAAUUCUCGGUGUAGCGGUGAAAUGCGUAGAUAUCGAGAGGAACACCUGCGGCGAAGGCGGGUUGCUGGGCCGGUCCUGACGCUGAGACGCGAAGGCGUGGGGAGCGAACGGG
rnacentral:rRNA from 1 species